rnacentral:misc_RNA from 1 species
GAUGAAGAACGCAGUGAAAUGCGAUAAGUAAUGUGAAUUGCAGAAUUCAGUGAAUCAUCGAAUCUUUGAACGCACAUUGCGCCCGGUAGUAUUCUGCCGGGCAUGCCUGUUCGAGCGUCAUUUCAACCAUCAAGCCCCAGCGCUUGUGUUGGGGGCCUGCGGCUGCCGCAGCCCCCUAAAAGCAGUGGCGGGCUCGCUAUCACACCGAGUGCAGUAGUUCAUCUUCUCUCCGGUCUUGUGAGGCGGGUUCCGGCUGUGAAACACCCCACUACAUUCAAGGUUGACCUCGGAUCAGGUAGGAAUACCCGCUGAACUUAAGCAUAUCAAUAAGCGGAGGA